UUCAGCCUGGAUUUAGUAGUUUUCUUAUUUAUAAUACUGUUUAAUAUUUUCCAUGUCUUUUUCAUAUUUUCUAAAAUUUACAGAUGCAAAAUUCCUAAUGUGAUCACAGAAACUUUGAUAGUGUAAACCAGGCUUUAGGAUCUGACUCCUACCCAGUUAUACAGCAUAGGUUGGUUGUUCAAGAGCCGCAGUUAUCUUAAUCCUGGGUCAACGUGAAAUUCAAAGCAUACUUCCCAGAAGUUAGUUUAUAAAGUUGGACAUUUUUUCAGAAAUCUUGUCUGCAUCAUCAGAAGUUUAAUUUUCUGACGUUUUCAAAUGACGUGCAGAAAUACAUAAACCAAAGCAAUGGCUUAAACUUUAACUCACGGUCAACGUGCUUUGGACAACUGGCCCCAGGAGUACACAUAUUUUUUCAAUCCUCAUUCAGGGACUGGGUACAAGUCAGUACAUAGACAAUCCAGAAGGCAUUCUUCUGUCUUCUGGAUUGUCUAUGGUCAGUGUUACACGGCUAAAAACGAUCAGGUUGUUGCAAUAGUUGAUCUAAAUAGGAGUGAACAAUGUUUUGCUGCCCAUGCACAUUGUUCACAGUUGUCAACAACAUCGAACAAUAUUGUUACACCCGAUUCAGGCUCAACAAUAUUGUUCAAUAUAGUUGACUACGAAUACGACAUACGAUGUUUGCACAUGCGCGCUAUCUUCUUACGCCAUCACGUAGCCACGCCAUAAUCUCGUAGUAGAGGCUUGUUUAGCUACGAGAUCAAAAAUCCUGUUGUUAAUUUGGCAUGGUUACGAGAUUUAUAAGGCGUCAGUACAUGAUGGUGUAGGAUGGCGUGUCCAGAUAAACGAAUCUCGUAGUCGUACUGGUAGUCAAAUCUAAAGCUCCUAACAACUCCCUACUAACGAUGCUGUGACACAGCAUCCGUGAGUUCAGAACUAUAUAGAGGGAUGAAAACUCUCCUAGUCAUGUUUAAGGUGGCUCCCUAGGGUUUUAUUUCCGGGGGUUACGUUCUUCGUAUAUAUGUAAACUAAAACUCGUAUGACUUCAAAAUACGAACGAACGUUGUGUGAACUUUGCAAACAAAAGUGUGAACUUUGCU